CUUACAGUGAAAUGAUGAAUACAACAGGUGUAGUAGACCUUACAGUGAAAUGCUGAAUACAACAGGUGUAGUAGACCUUACAGUGAAAUGAUGAAUACAACAGGUGUAGUAGACCUUACAGUGAAAUGCUGAAUACAACAGGUGUAGUAGACCUCACAGUGAAAUGUUGAAUACAACAGGUGUAGUAGACCUUACAGUGAAAUGCUGAAUACAACAGGUGUAGUAGACCUUACAGUGAAAUGCUGAAUACAACAGGUGUAGUAGACCCUACAGUGAAAUGCUGAAUACAACAGGUGUAGUAGACCUUACAGUGAAAUGCUGAAUACAACAGGUGUAGUAGACCUUACAGUGAAAUGCUGAAUACAACAGGUGUAGUAGACCUCACAGUGAAAUGCCGAAUACAACAGGUGUAGGUAGACCUUACAGUGAAAUGCUGAAUACAACAGGUGUAGUAGACCUUACAGUGAAAUGCUGAAUACAACAGGUGUAGGUAGACCUUACAGUGAAAUGCUGAAUACAACAGGUGUAGUAGACCUUACAGUGAAAUGCUGAAUACAACAGGUGUAGUAGACCUUACAGUGAAAUGCUGAAUACAACAGGUGUAGUAGACCUUACAGUGAAAUGCUGAAUACAACAGGUGUAGUAGACCUUACAGUGAAAUGCUGAAUACAACAGGUGUAGUAGACCUUACAGUGAAAUGCUGAAUACAACAGGUGUAGUAGACCUUACAGUGAAAUGCUGAAUACAACAGGUGUAGUAGACCUCACAGUGAAAUGCUGAAUACAACAGGUGUAGUAGACCUUACAGUGAAAUGCUGAAUACAACAGGUGUAGUAGACCUUACAGUGAAAUGCUGAAUACAACAGGUGUAGUAGACCUUACAGUGAAAUGCUGAAUACAACAGGUGUAGUAGACCUUACAGUGAAAUGCUGAAUACAACAGGUGUAGUAGACCUUACAGUGAAAUGCUGAAUACAACAGGUGUAGUAGACCUUACAGUGAAAUACUGAAUACAACAGGUGUAGUAGACCUCACAGUGAAAUGCCGAAUACAACAGGUGUAGGUAGACCUUACAGUGAAAUGCUGAAUACAACAGGUGUAGUAGACCUUACAGUGAAAUGCUGAAUACAACAGGUGUAGGUAGACCUUACAGUGAAAUGCUGAAUACAACAGGUGUAGUAGACCUUACAGUGAAAUGCUGAAUACAACAGGUGUAGUAGACCUUACAGUGAAAUGCUGAAUACAACAGGUGUAGUAGACCUUACAGUGAAAUGCUGAAUACAACAGGUGUAGUAGACCUUACAGUGAAAUGCUGAAUACAACAGGUGUAGUAGACCUUACAGUGAAAUGCUGAAUACAACAGGUGUAGUAGACCUUACAGUGAAAUGCUGAAUACAACAGGUGUAGUAGACCUUACAGUGAAAUGCUGAAUACAGCAGGUGUAGUAGACCUCACAGUGAAAUGCCGAAUACAACAGGUGUAGGUAGACCUUACAGUGAAAUGCUGAAUACAACAGGUGUAGUAGACCUUACAGUGAAAUGCUGAAUACAACAGGUGUAGGUAGACCUUACAGUGAAAUGCUGAAUACAACAGGUGUAGUAGACCUUACAGUGAAAUGCUGAAUACAACAGGUGUAGUAGACCUUACAGUGAAAUGCUGAAUACAACAGGUGUAGUAGACCUUACAGUGAAAUGCUGAAUACAACAGGUGUAGUAGACCUUACAGUGAAAUGCUGAAUACAACAGGUGUAGUAGACCUUACAGUGAAAUGCUGAAUACAACAGGUGUAGUAGACCUUACAGUGAAAUGCUGAAUACAACAGGUGUAGUAGACCUCACAGUGAAAUGCUGAAUACAACAGGUGUAGUAGACCUUACAGUGAAAUGCUGAAUACAACAGGUGUAGUAGACCUUACAGUGAAAUGCUGAAUACAACAGGUGUAGUAGACCUUACAGUGAAAUGCUGAAUACAACAGGUGUAGUAGACCUUACAGUGAAAUGCUGAAUACAACAGGUGUAGUAGACCUUACAGUGAAAUGCUGAAUACAACAGGUGUAGUAGACCUUACAGUGAAAUGCUGAAUACAACAGGUGUAGUAGACCUCACAGUGAAAUGCCGAAUACAACAGGUGUAGUAGACCUCACAGUGAAAUGCCGAAUACAACAGGUGUAGUAGACCUCACAGUGAAAUGCCGAAUACAACAGGUGUAGGUAGACCUUACAGUGAAAUGCCGAAUACAACAGGUGUAGUAGACCUUACAGUGAAAUGCUGAAUACAACAGGUGUAGUAGACCUUACAGUGAAAUGCUGAAUACAACAGGUGUAGUAGACCUUACAGUGAAAUGCUGAAUACAACAGGUGUAGUAGACCUUACAGUGAAAUGCUGAAUACAACAGGUGUAGUAGACCUUACAGUGAAAUGCUGAAUACAACAGGUGUAGUAGACCUUACAGUGAAAUGCUGAAUACAACAGGUGUAGUAAACCUUACAGUGAAAUGCUGAAUACAACAGGUGUAGUAGACCUCACAGUGAAAUGCUGAAUACAACAGGUGUAGUAGACCUUACAGUGAAAUGCUGAAGACAA